CCUACGGGGUGCUGCAGUGGGGAAUAUUGGACAAUGGGCGAAAGCCUGAUCCAGCCAUGCCGCGUGUGUGAAGAAGGCCUUCGGGUUGUAAAGCACUUUCAGUGGGGAAGAAAGCCUUGGGGCUAAUACCCUCGAGGAAGGACAUCACCCACAGAAGAAGCACCGGCUAACUCCGUGCCAGCAGCCGCGGUAAUACGGAGGGUGCGAGCGUUAAUCGGAAUUACUGGGCGGAAAGCGCGCGUAGGCGGUCUGAUAAGCCGGUUGUGAAAGCCCCGGGCUCAACCUGGGAACGGCAUCCGGAACUGUCAGGCUAGAGUGCAGGAGAGGAAGGUAGAAUUCCCGGUGUAGCGGUGAAAUGCGUAGAGAUCGGGAGGAAUACCAGUGGCGAAGGCGGCCUUCUGGACUGACACUGACGCUGAGGUGCGAAAGCGUGGGUAGCAAACAGGAUUAGAUACCCGGGUAGUC
rnacentral:rRNA from 1 species